CCUACGGGCGGCUGCAGUGGGGAAUAUUGGACAAUGGGGGGAACCCUGAUCCAGCCAUGCCGCGUGUGUGAAGAAGGCCCUCGGGUUGUAAAGCACUUUCAGUGAGGAAGAACGCCUGGUGGUUAAUACCCAUCAGGAAAGACAUCACUCACAGAAGAAGCACCGGCUAACUCCGUGCCAGCAGCCGCGGUAAUACGGAGGGUGCGAGCGUUAAUCGGAAUUACUGGGCGUAAAGCGCGCGUAGGUGGCUUGAUAAGCCGGUUGUGAAAGCCCCGGGCUCAACCUGGGAACGGCAUCCGGAACUGUCAAGCUAGAGUGCAGGAGAGGAAGGUAGAAUUCCCGGUGUAGCGGUGAAAUGCGUAGAGAUCGGGAGGAAUACCAGUGGCGAAGGCGGCCUUCUAGACUGACACUGACACUGAGGUGCGAAAGCGUGGGUAGCAAACAGGAUUAGAUACCCUUGUAGUC
rnacentral:rRNA from 1 species